CCGCACAAGCGGAGGAACAUGUGGUUUAAUUCGAUGAUACGCGAGGAACCUUACCUGGCUUAAAUGUAGAGUGCAUUUUUUAGAGAUAGAAAUUCCCUUCGGGGCUUUCUGCAAGGUGCUGCAUGGUUGUCGUCAGCUCGUGCCGUGAGGUGUCGGGUUAAGUCCCAUAACGAGCGCAACCCUUAUCGUUAGUUGCCAGCUGGUAAAGCAGGGGACUCUAGCGAAACUGCCACCGUAAGGUGAGAGGAAGGUGGGGAUGACGUCAAAUCAGCACGGCCCUUAUGUCCAGGGCUACACACGUGUUACAAUGGCCGGCACAGAGGGCAGCUACCUGGUGACAGGAUGCUAAUCUCGAAAACCGGUCUCAGUUCGGAUCGAAGUCUGCAACUCGACUUCGUGAAGCUGGAUUCGCUAGUAAUCGCGCAUCAGCCAUGGCGCGGUGAAUACGUUCCCGGGCCUU
rnacentral:rRNA from 1 species